UAUAGUCAAAUCCCAUUGGCCUUCAAAGUCAGAUUCUCUGGGGAUUCUUAGUCCCUUUGUUGGAUCCCCAGGCUGAGAAGCCUGUCGUGGGGUUCAGAACUUUCACAAGAAUGGGAGAACUUCUUUGGUAUUAUUGUUCUCCAGUUUGUGGGUCACCUACCCAGCAGGUACUGAAUUCAGUCAAAACCCUGAAUGAGGUUGGAAGUGAAUUCUUCUCCAGUGCCUUCAGUGAGGAAUUCAGUGCUAUCAACAUCAUGAUUUCAGCCUUGCGAAAUGCUAAAGAGAGACCCAGACACAUCUACCUGGGCUUCUGACCUUCAGAGAGUACAAGUGUCAUUUUCGUUCAGGAAAAACUAACCCCGGGGCUUCCUUCAGCAAAGCAGUGAGCCCUUGGUAUUUGACUGCUGAGAUCCAUGUGGCAAGUUUUUUGUGAAGGAUGGGCCAACAAGCUACACAAGUUGGCCCACAACAGCCCUUAGGAAAUAUUUCUUCUCCUCAUUGACCCAAAUUGCCUUUUUUUCCCCAAGGCCCAGUGUCUUUUCCUUUCUCUGAAUUCCAUCAGUA